UAAAAGGUCAACUAUUUACAAGGUGUAGCAACAGUGUGAUUAGCCCUGACUGAGUCAUGGGCAGGGAGUGGAACACUUUGAAGUCAGAGAUGGGUUUGAAUCAAGCUGUGGCGGUUCCGCAUCUGCCCGUGUUCUGUGCGGUGUGACGAAUUUGAUGAUGCAAUAAUGAAGACACUCUUCUCAAUUCCCUGAGCACAAGGUGUUCCAGGCCGGUAGCCGACUCUGACGUUGAAACAGUUUCCACGCCCAGCCCAGAGUACCUCUGUGUGUGUAUGUGUAGAGGGUCUGUGAAGAUUGAUUUUCAGCUAUUUUCACUUAGUAAAAUGAUUCCACUGUUAUUCCGAUGAGAACUUGCAAAAAUGCUUACCUGUGGAGCUAUCUUCCUGUCCCUGAAGACAUUUCUUCAAGAUGCCAUCUAUGAAGGCCAGUUGAUCCCCUGUACCUGUUAGUUCUGCGUCUGUGCAUUCA